UAUUGCUAAAGAGUUAACUAAAAGCCUUUUUAGUAUCACUACUUUGGAAUAUAGUUUAAAAGCAUAUUUUUUACGUUACUCUUUUAAACAUUCAUAACUAUAAGUGAUAAUUAUAUAAAGUACUGUACCGUCUUCUGUGAUUAACUUUAAAUUGUACUAAUAUACUGCGAAAUGAGUGUUAAUUAUAGCAAGUGCAUUAUUACUAUUGUUUAAUAACUUUUUUUCGGUUUAGAAUGUUGGAUUAUUCUACCUCAUUGGUUUCGAUAUGUGCAUAGGUACUGCUUUUGUGUCUUCUAUUUUUCAGGAUGGACUGUCUUCUUGAUAUGCUGGUGUUGAACAAGCCUCGGGGAACUAAAACGGCACAGCUUCGAAUAAAAGCAUUAGAAGAGUCUAUGGAAAAACUGCGCUAUUUUAAGAUGGCUUCUCACACUAAGAAAACUUUUCAAUAGUUGAUUCAUGUGUCAGCGAGAACCUAAGGACAUCUUGUUUGCAAAU